CCUCACCCUCCACAGGAAACAGGAGAAAUGCAUAGUCUUCUACACCCUGAGUGAAGACUAUACCUUUGCACACACCGUGCUCUUCCACACCUCUCUUCUUCCUUCAUCUAUUUUUGUAAACUCGUGCUGAAGAGUAACUUCCGAUCCUGACUUCCUCAAACCUCAGACAAGCUGCUGCCUCUUAACUCCGAGGUGAAUUCUCUCUGAUGAAAGGACAUCUUCGGUUACAGUUCCCGACCUGACCCUCAUGCUUCUGAGGCUCCUGCUGUUCAUCUAUGCUCCACUCUGUGAACCAACCGAGCUGCUUCUGAUAGCUAGUCCCACCCGGCCUAUAGAGGGGAGCUCGAUGACUCUGAUCUGUAAGAUCUACCCAGCUCCGCAGACAGCAGGUGUCCAGCUUCAAUUCUGCUUCUUCAGUGAUGUCUGGAACCAGAGAUUGCCCUGCAACACCUCCCCAAAGCUUCAGAUUCCCAAAAUGUGGCGUGAAAACUCAGGGUCUUACUGGUGUGAGGCAAAGCCAGAGAAAACUCGAGUUAUACGGAGCCAGAGGUUCUGGAUAGACGUGCAGAGAGUCCGCGUCUCUGAUGUGAGCUUGGAGACACAGCCCCCAGGGGGCCAGGUGAUGGAGGGAAAAAAGCUGGUCCUGGUCUGCUCGGUCGCUAAGGGCACAGGAAACAUCACCUUCCUCUGGUACAAAGGGGCCAUGGGUUUCAAACUGGGCACAAAGACCCUGCGUUCCUUAACUGCAGACUUUGAGAUCCUCACGGCGAGGGAGAGUGAUGCUGAGCAAUAUUACUGUGCAGCUGACAAUGGCUAUGGCCCCAGCCUCAGUGGGCUGGUGAGCAUCACUGUCAGAAUUCCAGUGUCUCAUCCAGUCCUCACCCUCAGGGCUACUGGGGCCCAGGCUGUGGUGGGGGACAUGGUGGAGCUUCACUGUGAGGCCCAAAGAGGCUCUCCCCCAAUCCUAUACCGGUUCUAUCACGAAGAUAUCAUCUUGGGGAACAGCUCAGCCCCCUCUGGAGGAGGAGCAUCCUUCAACCUGACUGCAGAGCAUUCUGGGAACUACUUCUGUGAGGCCGACAAUGGCCUGGGGGCCCAGCACAGUGAGGCCGUGCUACUCAACAUCACAGUGCCUACCAAGGACAGAAGGGAACUUCUUACUAUAGGAGUCAUCGAGGGGCUACUCGGCACCCUUGGUCCCACCGCUGUCAUCCUACUCUUUUGUUACUGGCUCAAGAAAAAAAUAGGAAACCGGUCAGCCAGGGAUCCACUCAGGAGCCCUCCCAGCCCUGUACCCCAAGACUUUACCUAUGUCAACUCACCUACCCCAGCGCCGCCGCAGCCCGUGUAUGAAAAUGUGAACGUUGUAAGUGGGGAUGACGUCUAUUCACUGGUGUACUGUAGCCAGCAGGAACGGAAACCAGCAGCAGGUGAGAGAUGAGGACUGACUUUGUGUCUGCCUCUUUUCCUUCCUGGAACCAAGAGGAGAAUCAAUGGCGGCGCCCAGCAGAGCAGCUGCCUGGAGCCGGCCCUGAGCACUACCGUCCCUCUCUGAAAACUGGUCUUUGGUCCGGAAGCAGCCUGGAGUAGAUCACAAUGCUAACGUUAACUUGGCCUGUUUAACGUCUCACCGCCCAGUGUUACCGCAGCAGCAGCAGAGACGAUGGCUUCUGUCUGCUCUCUCGGAGUGGUCCCACGGCCUCCCAAAGCAGCCCCAUCACAGCCACCUAAUUAUUUUGCUGCUGCGCUUCGCACGCGUGUUGGGCUCAGCAAAUCUGAGUGAGCCGCCAAGGACACUUACUGAGGAUGAGGUCUCCUUAGCCAUCUAUUCUAAGGUGAAGCAGGCAAGCAAUAUGGAUGUGGACUAUGAAGAUGCAAUGUAAAACUAUGGAAUAUUCCACCUUUUUAAAACCAUCCAUGAGCCCAAGCCUCAGAUCCAACAUGUUCUUCAGAGAGCACAGGGGAGCCGGCUUUCUGGUACACCUCACCCAGGUGCUUUGCUCCAUGAGCCUAAUCCUUCAUCUACCGUGAAGUCACUGUAAGCCCUGAAGAGACCAUCCAGGAGAACUAACGUGGAUACAGGAGUGGGAAGAACUGUGUUAUGGAAGAGCUGGUUUCCUGCUGGUUCCUCUGGGAUGGGUCAAAACGUGCUCUUAAUUCUUUUCGCAAGAGGAAAUGGUGGGAUAAAAGGGGUUGGGCUCUCCUGGUGGAGAAAUAGUGAAGCUAAGAGUGCGUGGACCCAGGGAGAGUGGUUUUGUAGAACUGCUCCAACAAGGCAGCUGUGUCCAUGGUUUUGUCUAAGUAUUUUCUCAGCACAGGCAGUAGAGAACCCCACUUAGGUUAAUCAUCAUGUUUCUGCCUAAAAUACACUAUUCAGUAUAUUUUGGGUCAAGUUAGCAAAUUAGAACUAAAACAAAAUUACAUAAAGAAUUAUGGUGGCCACACUCAAUUUUAAUAAUGUGUUAUCCAGGCUGAUCUAAAUGUCUCAAUAUUUAUGAGAAAUAAUCUCUAUCCAAAAUUCUGUGUCUGCUGCAACCUCUAGAAGGUUUGUGAAUAUAUUUUUUACUUCUUUCAUUCAUAAAUUUCUUGAAAACAUGUAUAAUAUGGUUUGGAGUCUGUGUUUUAAUUUGAAAGCAAUCGCACACUCUUACAAAUGAAAGCAAUUUGCAUAAAAAAUAAAAAAGUUGAAGCUGUCCCUGUAAUAGGACACCACAAAGGGUAGCCAUUGUUAAAAAUGUACCUUAUGACUCUCCAGAUAGUUUUGUACAAACACAUACACAUGUAUGUAAGUAUAGUUAUUUAAAAAUAUGCCUACUUAACAAAAUAUCGUGAAAUACUUUCAAGUCUGUAUAGAUCUACUGUACUAUAUUAAAAGGCUGUACAGUAUUCCAUUGUAUAGGCAAGCCAUAAUAUGUUUUAAUCCUUCCCAGCACUGAUGGACUUUAAGGUGGCUUCCAAAGUUUUCAUAUUGUAAAAACAUUGCUAAAGUAAAUGUCCUAUAAAAAAACAUCUUUUUAUGCA